rnacentral:rRNA from 1 species
GACGAACGCUGGCGGCGUGCCUAAUACAUGCAAGUCGAACGCACUCUCGUUUAGAUUGAAGGAGCUUGCUCCUGAUUGAUAAACAUUUGAGUGAGUGGCGGACGGGUGAGUAACACGUGGGUAACCUGCCCUAAAGUGGGGGAUAACAUUUGGAAACAGAUGCUAAUACCGCAUAAAACCUAACACCGCAUGGUGUAGGGUUGAAAGAUGGUUUCGGCUAUCACUUUAGGAUGGACCCGCGGUGCAUUAGUUAGUUGGUGAGGUAAAGGCUCACCAAGACCGUGAUGCAUAGCCGACCUGAGAGGGUAAAUCGGCCACACUGGGACUGAGACACGGCCCAGACUCCUACGGGAGGCAGCAGUAGGGAAUCUUCCACAAUGGACGAAAGUCUGAUGGAGCAACGCCGCGUGAGUGAAGAAGGUUUCGGAUCGUAAAACUCUGUUGUUGGAGAAGAAUGUAUCUGAUAGUAACUGAUCAGGUAGUGACGGUAUCCAACCAG